rnacentral:rRNA from 1 species
GUGAGGAAUAUUGGACAAUGGGCGCAAGCCUGAUCCAGCCAUGCCGCGUGCAGGAAGACGCAUCUAUGGUGUGUAAACUGCUUUUGUACGGGAAGAAACACUCCCUCGUGAGGGAGCUUGACGGUACCGUAAGAAUAAGGAUCGGCUAACUCCGUGUCAGCAGCCGCGGUAAUACGGAGGAUCCAAGCGUUAUCCGGAAUCAUUGGGUUUAAAGGGUCCGUAGGCGGUUUAAUAAGUCAGUGGUGAAAGCCCAUCGCUCAACGAUGGAACGGCCAUUGAUACUGUUAGACUUGAAUUACAAGGAAGUAACUAGAAUAUGUAGUGUAGCGGUGAAAUGCUUAGAUAUUACAUGGAAUACCAAUUGCGAAGGCAGGUUACUACUUGUGGAUUGACGCUGAUGGACGAAAGCGUGGGGAGCGAACAGGAUUAGAAACCCGUGUAGUCC